CGUCUGUCUGCCAGAGACCAGUGCCACUUCAUGGAGUCUCCCAUCUUCAGUCCGAUCCAGAACAAAUCAUCAACACUGACACUGAUAAGGAACAAGCUGAAGGAGCAGGGGUUACCUGCAGACACCAAAGUGACAUGGAAAAAGCAGCCUGAUGGGAAGGUCUUCCACAAGGAGGAAGAGGGGUCUCCCAAGAAAGAAGAGGAGGAGAAGAAGAUGAAGAGGAUGAGGACAGAGAGAGAACUCUAGUUAUGUUAAAUGUUCUCCUUACAGUUCUCUUUUUAUUUACAUUAAUUAUCUGUACUGGUCAUAUUUAAUAUUGUUCAAUCAUAUAUUUGUAACGGCUUUCGUUGGUGGAUGGAGAGGUGGACCAAGGUGCAGCGUGGUAAGUGGUCAUAUACGAGAAAAAAAAAACGACAAACGAACAGUCCUGAAAGGUGAAACAAAACACUAAACAGGAAACAUACAAAGCAAUCUACAGUCAGGGCGUGAAAAUAUUGAAUUUUGUUUUAUUGUAUAUUAGUAUUGUUUUAUCAUAGGAUGUGAUUUUAAGUUACAAAUCUUUAACAUUGUUCAUUGUUUGAAUCUCUUUUGUUAGUUUAUAUAUUAGAACCUAGUUUCAACUGUAGACUUGAUGGUUCAUUUGGAAUAUGAAUAAAUAACAUGGUGAGAGAUGCUCUUUUUCCUCAGUCAUUAUAGACAGUAUUCAGACUUGAGAUCUGAUCACUGGAAUUUCUGUAGAUUGACAUCAAUGAAUGAUUCAGGUGAAAGUCCCAGUUGUAAGCACAGAUCUCAUGUCAGAUUACCAUCCUGGAAGUUCAUUUAGAUUUCAAGAAAUAAUCUGUCAUUCAUCAACAAGGUUUUAUGUGAAUUACACAUUUUUUAUGACCAAAUAAAGGUUUACAUUGG